rnacentral:rRNA from 1 species
UACGUAGGGGGCAAGCGUUGUUCGGAAUUACUGGGCGUAAAGGGCGCGUAGGCGGCCUUCUAAGUCAGACGUGAAAUCCCCCGGCUUAACCUGGGAACUGCGUCUGAUACUGGAGGGCUUGAGUGCGGGAGAGGGAUGUGGAAUUCCAGGUGUAGCGGUGAAAUGCGUAGAUAUCUGGAGGAACACCGGUGGCGAAGGCGGCAUCCUGGACCAACACUGACGCUGAGGAGCGAAAGCCAGGGGAGCAAACGGGG